rnacentral:lncRNA from 1 species
CUCAUCUAACUCUCUCAAGAUGAAAAUGAAAAAAGAAAUUAAAAAAAGAAGAAGGUUCACCUCUCACGUCUCCCUGACGUAGCCCUCACUCACAAUACUCUCACUCUGAACGAAAAUAAAAGAAAAAAGUAAUACUCACUUCCUCUCUCAAAACAGAUUCUCUCUCCUUGUUCAAAAAUAAACGAAAAAAGGAAAAAGAAAAACAGAAACAGAAAGAGAAAAAGGGAGGCGAAGAGCUCCUCUCUUCAUCUUCUUCGCUCACAAACUCCAG